rnacentral:rRNA from 1 species
UGGGGAAUUUUGGACAAUGGGCGAAAGCCUGAUCCAGCAAUGCCGCGUGUGUGAAGAAGGCCUUCGGGUUGUAAAGCACUUUUGUCCGGAAAGAAAUCCUUGGCUCUAAUACAGUCGGGGGAUGACGGUACCGGAAGAAUAAGCACCGGCUAACUACGUGCCAGCAGCCGCGGUAAUACGUAGGGUGCAAGCGUUAAUCGGAAUUACUGGGCGUAAAGCGUGCGCAGGCGGUUUGCUAAGACCGAUGUGAAAUCCCCGGGGCUCAACCUGGGAACUGCAUUGGUGACUGGCAGGCUAGAGUAUGGCAGAGGGGGGUAGAAUUCCACGUGUAGCAGUGAAAUGCGUAGAGAUGUGGAGGAAUACCGAUGGCGAAGGCAGCCCCCUGGGCCAAUACUGACGCUCAUGCACGAAAGCGUGGGGAGCAAAACAGGAUUAGAUACCCUGGUAGUCCACGCCCUAAACGAUGUCAACUAGUUGUUGGGGAUUCAUUUCCUUAGUAACGUAGCUAACGCGUGAAGUUGACCGCCUGGGGAGUACGGUCGCAAGAUUAAAACUUAAAGGAAUUGACGGGGUCAUAGCUGUUUCCU